rnacentral:misc_RNA from 1 species
GAUGAAGAACGUAGUUAAAUGCGAUACUUGGUGUGAAUUGCAGAAUCCCGUGAACCAUCGAGUCUUUGAACGCAAGUUGCGCCCGAAGCCAUCAGGUUGAGGGCACGUCUGCCUGGGCGUCACAUAUCGUUGCCCAAUGCCUAUUGCAGUGCAAUAGGAAUUUCUAGGGCGAAUGAUGGCUUCCCGUGAGCGUUGUUGCCUCGCGGUUGGUUGAAAAUCGAGUCCUUGGUAGGGUGUGCCAUGGUAGAUGGUGGUCGAGUUAGAACGAUACCGAUCAUGUGCAUGCUCCCCAAAAUAUGGCCUCUAUGACCCACACGCGUCUUUUGACGCUCAUGACGAGACCUCAGGUCAGGCGGGGCUACCCGCUGAAUUUAAGCAUAUCAAUAAGCGGAGGA